CCCUGCUAGAAGUCAUUCUCUCUCUCUCUUGAGGUAAACACCAGCUUAUGCCAUGUAAAAGCCCAAAGUAAAAUGGCUUUUGGUGUGCAAGUGCAGAAUCAUUGCUAUAAGGCUUUCUACUUGGUCUCAGAAUUGUUUUAUUCUAACUUCUAAGCUCCUUCUUCGUAAUCAUUAGGCCAGGAUAGUUAACAAACAAAAUGGCAGCCAUGUGAUCUAACUACCUCAUGUAGUCAUCCUUUCAGUCAGACUGAUGGAAUGACCACGUGAGAUGGAUCCCCUGGUGCUGCUCUCUGCACGUGUUUUGGGGUGAGAUUGACAUAUUUUGGUUUACUUUCACAUAGUGUUAGAGGACUGUCUCUGUUCUGGUCUUCGAUUGGUCAAACCAGCUUGAUCAUAUCCUAAUGAUCACUGCAUUGCCGUAGAUUUUCACUUAAGGCCUUGCAAAAGGGAGACAGAGAGCCAUACAAAAAUAUUGAUUUGUUUUGGUUUACGAACCACAAAACGGCCUACAAGAAUCUACAAAUAUGUUAAUUCACUACCUCAUACUGGUUGAGAGUCUAUUUUCUGUAUAAAAUACAUGCAAAUAGUAUCUUUAAAGAUUGAGGGCAGA
rnacentral:lncRNA from 1 species